rnacentral:rRNA from 1 species
GACGAACGCUGGCGGCGUGCUUAACACAUGCAAGUCGAACGAAGAGCGACGGAAGCUUGCUUCUAUCAAUCUUAGUGGCGAACGGGUGAGUAACGCGUAAUCAACCUGCCCUUCAGAGGGGGACAACAGUUGGAAACGACUGCUAAUACCGCAUACGAUCUAACCUCGGCAUCGAGGAUAGAUGAAAGGUGGCCUCUACAUGUAAGCUAUCACUGAAGGAGGGGAUUGCGUCUGAUUAGCUAGUUGGAGGGGUAACGGCCCACCAAGGCGAUGAUCAGUAGCCGGUCUGAGAGGAUGAACGGCCACAUUGGGACUGAGACACGGCCCAGACUCCUACGGGAGGCAGCAGUGGGGAAUCUUCCGCAAUGGACGAAAGUCGGACGGAGCAACGCCGCGUGAGUGAUGACGGCCUUCGGGUUGUAAAGCUCUGUUAAUCGGGACGAAAGGCCUUCUUGCGAAUAGUGAGAAGGAUUGACGGUACCGGAAUAGAAAGCCACGGCUAACUACGUG